GUGUGCAUCGUGCAUCCUUGCAGUGAUUCAGCCCUUGUGUGAGAAAACCAGGCGCAGGCGCAGAUGGCUGACCCAUGCAGUCCUGCUGAGUCCUGACUCACUGUGCUGCCCGAAGGCCUUCCUCUGGGUGGCUCCUCUACAGUGACUGUCACCUUAGAAAUGCAUGGGUCCUGGUGACCGGAGGGUGACACUCGGGUGGAAGAUCGACAGUCUUACCUGGCUUCUUUAGCCAAGAAACAAGCAUGCUGAAUUGUCCUGAGCAACGAAAGGGUCUGAAGACCACGGAUAUGCAGAGAGGAAAUGGUAACUGCCCUAGCAUUUGAAUCUGAUUUCUCAGAAGUGCCACCGCCUCUCUUUGUGGCUUUGAGAGCCAAUAGGGAGGGUCAGUGUCACUGCUCCUCCAGCCCAGCACGCCCCUCCUGGCAGGGUUUGGUUGCCCUCCUGAAAAGGAACAUCUCACGGGUAAUGACGCCCUUCUGGUCUUCUUCUGAGAACUGUAGCUCCUGCCUGUCCCCUGGAAGAGGGCAUCUAGGGGAAGAAGAGACCAGGUGGGUGGGGCCGAGGACAGAAAUGCAGAGUCGCUGUCCUGCUAAGGAGAAACCCAGCUGCUCUGUGCCAGGAGGAAGAGCCCCCACCUCUGAAAGGGGCUGAAGAUGUCUUGACUGGGUGACCAGGGUCCGUGUGCACUGUGCUAAUUAUAAUCAGGCCCCAGUGACAGGGCAGGCAGUGAUGUCCCCAUCACAUGGCACUAGACCCAGAGGGUUGCCCAGGAGUCCACCUGGCCACCUCUGGCCUGCACAUGGACUCCCCGUGGCCCGAGAACAUGUUUCUGUAAUGGUUCUUUGCGGGUAGUGGGGUUGGAGGAGUUUUGAACACCUGGAGUGUAAAGCCACACUGACUCUCCUGAUGCCAGGAGUGCUGUGGUGCCUCCCAGCUGGCCCCUCGGGGUGGGGUCUUUGGGGGUGUCACCUGCUCGCCACAGCCCCACCAGGCAUGCUGCUCCCUUCCCUCACUAGACGGGAAUCUAGCAUCUCAGGACAGAUGGGGUCUGAAGUCCCCUGGGUCUCACGUGCACAGUGGACAAGGGCCCCAGGCUGCUCCUGGGCGCUGCUGGCUCACUUUCCAGGGCUGUAGCCUGCUGAGGGCUCUCCUGUGGCCCGCAGGGUGGCCCGCACGGUGGCCCGCAGUGCCCCCAGCCCCUGCCCGAUGGAUGCCAGUGGUUCUUCUUGCUUCCCACAGAUGUCUCCGGACGGCCAGACGGCCCCUGGGGAGCAAUCCCUGCCUGGGCCCCAGAACCUCUGGUCUAAGCGAACAUGGCACGCAGCACCUGCAAGAGCAGGGACUGCUGACUUUAGUAACGGCAUGGUGUUGGUGGCAUCCGGUUUUAGACUGUCGCCUGGAGAUGUCACUGGGUUUUGGGUUUUUAGUCCCAAGUGACCUCGUAUGGGCUGAGGUUCUGCACACAGCAGCAUACAUGUGUCAAGGGUUUCAGUGGGAUGUGUAAUAAAGACA